AAGAAAAUUUCAAAGCACUGCUUUCUUUGUGGCAAGAAAACUGGAUUGGCAACCAGCUAUGAGUGCAGAUGUGGAAACAACUUCUGUGCAACACACCGCUAUGCAGAGACUCACACUUGCACCUAUGACUACAAGAGUGCAGGACGGAGGUAUUUACAGGAGACCAACCCCAUCAUUAGUGCACCAAAGCUUCCCAAAAUUUGACAUGGUUGUGCUGCAUGUGGCCACUGCUGUUGAAGAAUUGUACUGAAUUGAGAGAAGCACUUGCUUAAACUGCAUCAUUUCGCCAUGCUCCGUAUUUAAAGAUUUGCCAAGUAACAAAAGCACAUGAGGAUGCAUCGAAGAAUAAUGUGAACACUACUGCAGUUAAAACUUUUCUUCUUGAGUGAAUGAAAGGUUAAAAAUUAGUUUCUGAAAACUUACACUAUGAUUUAACUGUUACUGCACGUGUUGUGUUUUAUAUUUGGAAAAGCUAUUUCACUAGACAAGUCUUUAAAGAUGCACUUUACUAACUUUACUGUAUAACCAGAGUUGAGGAGGUGUUGUAAUGAGGGUGUCACGUAAUGUCUUCUGUACUCUUGUUUUUGUCCAUUGUGUGGUAUCUUCUAAGUUAUUUCACUAGAAAGAUCCUCCUCCCUCCCCUUUCUUCAAACAGCCUGUUUUGAGAUUUUAAGGGGAUAGUGUGUUCCACCCCUCUGUUUCAUUCUGAUUGAUAUUCGUACAUUGUGUGUCCAUUCUGAAAAUUACAUAUCAUUUAAAUCACAUUUUCUUAAAAUAAUGCUGUUUAUAUGACAAGUUUGUUUUUAAAUAGAAGGUUCCCUGUUUGUUGCCAUUAAAUAUAAGAAACAACUUAUUUUAACUUUUUUUGUAAUCCUAGAUUUUUUUAAGACUUCACAACUUGCUUUGUUAAGAUGUUGAAUGCUGUUACUGGAAGAAAUCCUAAUAAAUAUUAAAUUUUAUUCUUGUUUAUGCUGUCAUAAAUGCACAAAAUAAUUUCCCUCUUACAGUGUGUUCCUAAAUUAAAAGCUGGGUGUAUUUAUUUUUUUCUUUUUUAGUGUGACCAAGACUGUGUGCUUUAAAUAAACCUCCUGAAGUCUUACAGGUGUACCAGCAAAGGCAAAAGGGAUGCACAACAAAUGGCCUGUACUAACCUUUCUCCCCUCCAGCUAAUAGAGUAUAACAGCAGUUCAGUAAAUGCAUUUACUUUUCACUUCUAAUGAUUAUGUAGCCUCUACAGAAACUGCUUUUGGAGGAAUAUACCUACUGAAAUACUUUCUUCUUUCAUUCCCUUAAUGCUUGUGAAAUAUUUUUAUAAGCAUAAGUUGCAUUAAGUGUUCCAGUAUAAAGAGAUUAAUAAAAAUCCUACGACAAACCACCAAAACAAAAGAAAUACCCCCCAUUGUAUCUAGGUAAUCAAAUGUCAUGGUCCCUGUCUUGUCAAAGUCCUCAGCUACUUAGUUGGUAUUGAAAUGAUCUGUGCUGCAUUCCAGUCAAAGUGUAGCAGCUUUAAGAGAGUGACAGUCAAAAGGUGGACAAAAAAGAAGAAAGAUGACCACUGAAAGAGGGAGCAGUAACUUGAAAGAUCUGAUCUUUGGAGGAAAUCCAUUUUGUGUAGCCCACUUCAUACUUCUUAAACCUGAAGCUUUCAGAGUGAUGAGCUUGGAAAAAAAUGUUCACAAUCAUCCUUCUGGGUAUUGAUAAGAUAAAAAUAUCAUUCUGUGUGUGUGACUUCUGUGCUUAUUAUUACUGGAG
ensembl:lncRNA